GUAUUUUUGCAGAAGCUCUUUAGCCUGUAAUUGCAGCUCCUCGGAGAUGGACAAAGAUCUGGACGCGUUGAGGAGGAGGAGGCAACACUCCAUCACGUCAGGACGAGGAAACAUCUGGGUGGCAGCCACAACGGGCUCCACCAGCUUCUUCCCUGGACACGUGGUCAUCAGAAAGAGCAGAGUCAACAUCGAGGACACGUCGUCCAGGACAGUCAGCUGACAACCUGCUCAGUGUCUCCACCUUUGGGCGGUUUGCUGAAUUCCUGCUCUGAGACAUUCCACUCCUGAACCGUGAAGUCCUUUCCUCCAGUCCAGACCAGGUCUGGAUCAACAGGAGACCAGUCCACGCACAGCAGCUCCACAGCACCUCCUGCUGGAUGACUGACCUGUGCUGUACCAUCAUAUGACACGCUGACAAGUUGGGCGUCGUGAUGUGGACUCCAGGCCAAACCUGUAAUUUUUGCCGUGUGACCUGCUAGCUUACGGAAUGGUUCGG